AUUUCCACGCAGUCAAUAUUUUCUCUGCCAUGGAAAUGAGUUGAAUGGGGAAGUGAACCAUGAAUAAGUGAAUUAGAAUCAAAGCAAAGAAUCAUUCAGGUACAAAAAUACAUUUUCUGUUUGAAGGAUGGAAGAUGAGACGAACACGACAGAAAUUCCUAGAGGAUUGAGAGUUGUGGUGAGAUUUUGGGGCGCCGUGUCUGGGCUGUGUUCUGCAGCUCUUGGCAUCUUAGUACUUUUUACAUUAUCAGCAACAUGUUUGGGAAUGGGUAUUUAUAUGAUGGUAAUGGGUGCAAUAAUACUAGCUUUUGAGGCUCCAAUGUGUUGCCAGUUUGUACCAGCUCUAGUUACCAUGAGUAACUGGUUUGAGAAGUACUUGAGAUUCUGGAUAAGAGGAAGUUUGUACUUUCUGUUAGCACUCCUUCCAGUUAUUUUCUGCCUGGAAGUCUCUACCUUUGUUGGUUGUGGCUCUGUUAUGAUCACAGCUGCUUUGUAUGGUGUUUUGGCUAUUGGGAAAAAAGGAGCCCAUGCCAACAAGACCACAAAUUCUGAAGAAAUUGAGAUGAAAACUAACCUCGUUGACAAGAAAGGCGACCCAAAUUAUGUUGGAGAAGCAGAACCUUGAAUUCACUCAAAGAGAUAAACAGUAUACAUGAAUGAUUUAAACCAGCGGUCUCCAGAUUCACUGUUCUAAUUAACUUUAAACUAUUAAAUUAUUCAUGGGCAGUCUCAAGGGAUGUUAACAGUUGCCUUCGUUACUGUAGAUGUACCUGAAAAAGCCCAUGUGAUAAUUUUGACUAAGGCAAUAGCUAGCAUUGUUGGUUCUAUGGGUGUCAGCUCACAGAAUGGCUGAACAUCAAGCAAAGUAAUGGAAGAUGGGAUGUUGUUUACUGGUCAAAGCAUCAAUAGUAUGGUAUUGCAUACUGAUGUUCAUGUACAUGUAGGAUAGACUGUCAAAUUGGAAAAAAGUGAUGAAAAAGUCAAAGUUUAGGGAUUAACAGUCCUUUCUGGGAAGCAGUUCACCUGUUAAGAAAGAGUUUUUUUUUUUUGUUUGUUUCUUUCUUUCUUUCUAUACUUGCAUCUCUUUGGUCAAAUUUGGAACUGUAAAUCAUGAAAGUGUCAAGUGUACAUGUAUUUAUGUACAGUGUGGUACCAUAAAUCUUAAAAUUCCAAGAUCCAGUUAGUAAUCCUACCCCCUUUAUGCCAUACUUUUCCUUCUAAAUAGGGCAGGAGAAUUUUGGCUUGUUCCAAAAUAACACCCUCUUUCGGACAAGCUUCUCUGUUCUCACAGCCUGUUUACAAGGUGUUAAAGACUUCUUUGAGUACCAACAAGUUCUUCCUAAAGAAGAAGCACUCUUAAGGGAAUAAUUGUGGCACCUCCUAACACACUGAUGGUGUUUUCAAUUAGCCUCCUUAGCAAGUGCUUGCCCAGCCUGAAUGAAAUGAUGUGAGGAUCAUUUCCUGUAUUCUUGUAACCCAAUGUUGAUUGUUCAGUGAUACAACAGGGAGAAAUUGGAUGCUGAUCGCUUACUUAUGGGGUUAAAGUUCGUCAAAUUUCUUUGCAUUUAAGUUAAUAUAUUGAAAGAAGCUCUUUAAAUUUUCUGAGAAAAACGUGUCAUAUCAAUACAAAAUAAUUUAUUUAAUUUAAAGAGGUCUUAAGUGGACUUCAAGGUUAUAUGUUUAAUAUAAGAUUUGAUUCAAUUAUGGUAGUUUAAUCACAAAUUGGAAAUUUAAUUGAAAGGAUCAUUAACACUAGGGACAUUUUUAGUACAAGAGUUUACGUUGUUUCAAGUGUUAGUGGAAUUGUUUUGUUCUUUCAUUCUCAAAUAGUAAUUCUUGACUGACAUGUGAAGCAACUUAUCUAUGAUGUGGUAGAAUUAGCAAUAGUUCAGGGAGAAUUCGCAACAAGGGCACUUGUCCUUUUUAAGAUAUGACUCUGGUUUUUAGAAGAAUCCCUUCGUCUUAAGGAAAAAGACGCAAAUUGUAAACUAUGACUGACUUCUGUGACCUUGUUCAAAUGCUGAACGUGUGCUAUUAUAGUUGUUGGAUAAAAAUAGAACUAUUCUAAUAGUUCUCACAAGAAUUGACCAUACUGGCACGUUUUCUUUUAAAGAAAAAUUACUUCUACAUUACGAAUUACGAAAGCCCUGUUAAAUUAUUAUUUUAAGAGUUUAUUUAGGAACUAAAUCGGCCGGGGCAUUUUAUUUUUUUUUUUAGCAAUAAACAAUGGCUGAAAAUGU